rnacentral:misc_RNA from 1 species
GAUGAAGAACGCAGCGAAAUGCGAUAAGUAAUGUGAAUUGCAGAAUUCAGUGAAUCAUCGAAUCUUUGAACGCAUCUUGCGCUCCUUGGUAUUCUGAGGAGCAUGCCUGUUUGAGUGUCAUUAAAUUCUCAACUACACUGACUUUGAAUUGGUGUGGCUUGGAUUUGGGGGGAAAAUUGUUGUGGGCUUUUUGUAUAGUCUGCUCCCCUGAAAUUGAUUAGCGGUACCUUUGUGGAACUGUCUACAGGUGUGAUAAUUAUCUACAUCUUAGACAUCUGCUGGAAUGCUGCUUUCUAAACCUUACUUGUAUUGACAAUCUUGACCUCAAAUCAGGUAGGACUACCCGCUGAACUUAAGCAUAUCAAGAAGCGGAGGA